AACGUGGACUCCUGCAAAAAGAUACCGGUAUUAUUUUUCAUCAAAAUGCCAGAUUGCUGGUAGACACAUCUCUGAUCAAUCCAAACAAGAUUAAAUGUGAUGUGAUGUUUCAGUGGGUUGGAUGGAUCGAAUGGUCGGAUUUCAAGAACGAGUAUAAGCUGAAGGCAAUACAAUGCAGAGACUAUCAGGACGUUGACGUGAAUCUGUUAGAGAUGGCCGAGAAGAAAAAACGGAAUUUUUUGUCAAGGUGGAUGACGACUAUAGAACGAAAAAAAUGAAUAUGCGAUACAUCGCUGUUUGAUGUAGUCUUCCAACAACAGGUACAACGUGAUCAUCCUGAUACAGAGAGGCUGAUUUCACAUGUCUAUUCUUGCUACGAAGAAGGAAUAGCAGCCGUAUAGACGUUAUAUUUCUUUUGUGUAUGAUAGUCUUUUUUUGUUAGGGAAGGUGUUUUCCCAUGAGUUGACUUCUAGCAGGAAAAAAACCUUAUAUUAGCUGUGCAGAGCACCGUUGAAAGAGAGUCUAGAAUGAAGGGACGAGACACCAAAAUUUGUAUAGACAACAAAUGCACAAAUAUGAUUUGUAUAUUAUUCUUAUAUCAUAUGCUUUUUGACGAGUGUUUUUGGUAGAAGAUGCACGGAGCUUGUCAGACGAAAGUAGUAGCGACUAUAUGUAUCAUCCUCUUGAUGUGCAUAAUGCCGAGGAAUGCGGAUACAUUUUCCUGUAAUACUGUAAACUAUUACUACGAUAAGGAGAGUGUAUAUAGCUAUGAUUCAGAUGAAAUAACAGUCGCUUGUAUAAGUAUUACCCCCAAAAUUUCCUAUAUGAAAGAACCUUCAGCCAUCCACGUAACUAUUACAGAUUACACAAUUCCAGAUGAAAGUCAACUCAUUGUCUACGGCUCGAUAUUUCCAACAGAAAAAAGAGAAGAAUUCCGCAUCACAAAAGAAGAAGCUACAAAAAAUGCAGGUAAUUCAAUUGAGCGCAUCGUGAAAAGACCAUAUUUGUUUUUGACCUUGAUAAGCAAUGGAAAUCAACAAACAAAAUUUGUGUUCGGCUACAGCGUUGAGGACGGUGAGACCCAACACGUCGUCGGAUACCUCAUCUUCGUCUGUGUUAAUAUAAUCCUCGCUGUUCCACUUUUCUUCAACUUGAUUCUUUUAAUAAUCACAUCUACCACCUCAAAGAAGAUAUUAUCGAGGCAAAGAAUGCUAUUGAUUAUAUCCUUUCUCGUCAUGGGUUUCAUCUGUCUCCUUUCUGUGCUCAUUGACUCCGUUGUCCGAUACUCAUAAGAACUGCAACUCUUCGUUUUAAUACAGUUUUUACUCCUAGCUAGCAAGUAGCAAGUUGGUUGCCGCUCCUGAUUUACUAAUAUUUUGUAGAUUCUUCUAUAUUUGCAUAUAUACUUCUCUCUAUAUGUAUAUUCGCGAACAUUUUUCUUUUUGCUAGAUUCAUUCAUAUCCCAGCGGGUCCGCAUGUCCUUGUCUGAGGAAUUCUAAUGCACUGUUCCGCAAUGCAAGUAAAAAAGUCCUCAUUUCUUUCUGACUGAAGUAGCUGAACAGCUUUUUUCUAUCAUCUGCAACAAGACCUGAGAGACGGAUACAACCCGCAUAAUUUUGCAUAUGAUAUAACAUGUGGUGCAGUAAAAAAAUCGUCUCCGGUAGACAUUGACGUUUCAGUUCCUUCAACUGCACUGCGCGACAAGAAUUUUUCGGAUAAUCCCCUUGUUGUUGUAACAAAUGGGAUGGCAGUUCUUCAUAAUGAAGCGUGCUUUUUCCUUCAUAUUCCAUAUCCUCCAACCAUCCGCCCGGAAAAUAAAUUACCUCAUUCAACGCCUUCAGCGCGUCAUCUGCCAA